rnacentral:rRNA from 1 species
GGGUUGUGAGGUUAAGCGACUAAGCGUACACGGUGGAUGCCCUGGCAGUCAGAGGCGAUGAAGGGCGUGCUAAUCUGCGAUAAGCGCCGGUAAGGUGAUAUGAACCGUUAUAACCGGCGAUACCCGAAUGGGGAAACCCAGUGUGACUCGUCACACUAUCAUUAACUGAAUCCAUAGGUUAAUGAGGCGAACCGGGGGAACUGAAACAUCUAAGUACCCCGAGGAAAAGAAAUCAACCGAGAUUCCCCCAGUAGCGGCGAGCGAACGGGGAGGAGCCCAGAGCCUGAAUCAGCAUGUGUGUUAGUGGAAGCGUCUGGAAAGGCGCGCGAUACAGGGUGACAGCCCCGUACACAAAAGCGCAUGUGCUGUGAGCUCGAUGAGUAGGGCGGGACACGUGGUAUCCUGUCUGAAUAUGGGGGGACCAUCCUCCAAGGCUAAAUACUCCUGACUGACCGAUAGUGAACCAGUACCGUGAGGGAAAGGCGAAAAGAACCCCGGCGAGGGGAGUGAAAAAGAACCUGAAACCGUGUACGUACAAGCAGUGGGAGCACCCUUUGGGUGUGACUGCGUACCUUUUGUAUAAUGGGUCAGCGACUUAUAUUCUGUAGCAAGGUUAACCGAAUAGGGGAGCCGGAGGGAAACCGAGUCUUAAUUGGGCGUUAAGUUGCAGGGUAUAGACCCGAAACCCGGUGAUCUAGCCAUGGGCAGGUUGAAGGUUGGGUAACACUAACUGGAGGACCGAACCGACUAAUGUUGAAAAAUUAGCGGAUGACCUGUGGCUGGGGGUGAAAGGCCAAUCAAACCGGGAGAUAGCUGGUUCUCCCCGAAAGCUAUUUAGGUAGCGCCUCGUGAAUUCAUCUCCGGGGGUAGAGCACUGUUUCGGCUAGGGGGCCAUCCCGGCUUACCAACCCGAUGCAAACUGCGAAUACCGGAGAAUGUUAUCACGGGAGACACACGGCGGGUGCUAACGUCCGUCGUGAAGAGGGAAACAACCCAGACCGCCAGCUAAGGUCCCAAAGUCAUGGUUAAGUGGGAAACGAUGUGGGAAGGCCCAGACAGCCAGGAUGUUGGCUUAGAAGCAGCCAUCAUUUAAAGAAAGCGUAAUAGCUCACUGGUCGAGUCGGCCUGCGCGGAAGAUGUAACGGGGCUAAACCAUGCACCGAAGCUGCGGCAGCGACACUGUGUGUUGUUGGGUAGGGGAGCGUUCUGUAAGCCUGUGAAGGUGUGUCGUGAGGCAUGCUGGAGGU